GAUGAACGCUAGCGACAGGCUUAACACAUGCAAGUCGAGGGGCAGCAUAAAAGUAGCAAUACUUUGGUGGCGGCCGGCGCACGGGUGAGUAACGCGUAUGCAACCUACCUAUCAGAGGGGAAUAACCCGGCGAAAGUCGGACUAAUACCGCAUAAAACAGGGGCACCGCAUGGUGAUAUUUGUUAAAGAAAUUCGCUGAUAGAUGGGCAUGCGUUCCAUUAGGUAGUUGGUGAGGUAACGGCUCACCAAGCCUACGAUGGAUAGGGGAACUGAGAGGUUGGUCCCCCACACUGGUACUGAGACACGGACCAGACUCCUACGGGAGGCAGCAGUGAGGAAUAUUGGUCAAUGGGCGAGAGCCUGAACCAGCCAAGUCGCGUGAAGGAAGAAGGAUCUAUGGUUCGUAAACUUCUUUUGCAGGGGAAUAAAGUGCAGGACGUGUCCUGUUUUGUAUGUACCCUGAGAAUAAGGAUCGGCUAACUCCGUGCCAGCAGCCGCGGUAA
rnacentral:rRNA from 1 species